UCCCAUCACAAGGGAGAAAAACAAACAAAUAGACAGUUAUUAUUUUGUGCCCGUAUUGAAACACCGUAUGGACCUGAAAACUCAAUUUCCUUGCACAAGAAUACGGGUAAACCGUAUGGGUUGAUAGGUUUCUUCACGCGUUGAACCCCCCUUGAUUCAGGGGCCCAUGGGGACGGCCGGUGGAGGCAGGCGGGCCCUCCCGGGCUGGAUGGUCACGGGUCCUGAUGCCCCAGAACACGCUGGCAAGCAAGGAUCGAACCCUGCAGGCAGGGGUAUGCAGACGGCUUCCGGCUCAAAAGGCAUGGCACGGAGAGGCAAGACGAGGACAUCCAGGAAAUCAUUCUCCAAACUCAAAGGUGGCCCUACUCAACCCAUCUACUGCAUGAGCGAGUCAGAGCUGCUCCACAUGGCCCUGCAGUUCCUCCCUGACAUUUCGGACACGGACAGCAAGGAGGCUAUUGCAGUGACUGCUACGGGGACCGAGGAGAGGAAAGGACCGAAGCUGACCACCACCGUGGAAUAUUGGCCGAGCGAGUCUCAAGUACUGCUUGGGGGGACAAUGUCCCCCCAUGGACGAGUCGUCAGGCCCCCUCUCGAGAGUGAGAUCAGUGGGCUACGAUGCUCCAAUGCCACUCGGCCUAGAGAGGACUCUGUGGGGGAUGACGGCAUGAAUGUUCUCAAGGAAAUAUUUUUCAAGAAAUGAACUGAAAGCAUUGUCUGCGCUACAUGAUCUGCGUGUUGUCACAAUGGACAGCUGUGAUAUUUCUCGAGCCCAACCCUUGGUGUCUGGAGGAAGGAGCAGGGCCUAACAAGAAAAGACUCCAAGAGCCAAAAGAGGAAGAAACGGGGCUGAAUCGCAAAGUGGAGGAGGAUGGUUGCGGUCACAGAGAUUAAAGAGUUGUGGCCUAAAGAGGAAGGGGAGGGACCUACAGAGGUUCAACUUUCCCGUUGAUUUCAUAAAAGCAUAGAUUAAAUAAGUGCAACAGGCAGCAUACCUUUAGUACCCCAUAUGCGGCGACAGGUAAACUAGUGUAAUUUGAUUAUACCACGCAGACCUCACUUAGCGCUACCUCGUAGAACGUGUAUUCAUUAUAGCGCUCUUUGUCCCGGGGACAUUUUUUUCUUCCAAAAAUUGAUAAAAUCUAAAAAGCACUUACGAGUGGGAACAUGCAGUGCCGAGGAAACGCACCCGACACCACCUGUGUUUACGUUCUCUCAGCCAAUGAGUGCGACGAACGCUCUGAGCUCACCAGUUUAAAAAAACCACACACCUGCCCGCCGACUUGUUCACUCUGCCUUGGUCUCUGUGCUAUUUUUUUGCGUGUUUUAUGAGUAUUUUAGACCCAUAAUGUCUGAAAAAGGCCUGCAAAUGUUAAUGUUGGAAAUGUGACCAAAGGUGUCAAGGAAUCUCUUAUGAUGUUAAAAUGCAAGUGAUAAGGCGGGUAGAGGGGGUGUCAGGUGGGUGUGGGUCGUGAGCGAUGGGUGGAUGUACUCGUGAAUACAGUUCAUAAUA